ensembl:lncRNA
GGGGGAAAUAGGAGGACUGGACUGCAGGGGGGAAAUAGGAGGACUGGACUUACUGCAGAGGGGGAAAUAGGAGGACUGGACUUACUGGAGGGGCGGAAAUAGGAGGACUGGACUUACUGGAGGGGCGGAAAUAGGAGGACUGGACUUACUGCAGAGGGGGAAAUAGGAGGACGACUUACUGCAGGGAGGGAAAUAGGGUAAGGACUGGACUUACUGCAGAGGGGGAAAUAGGAGGACUUGACUUACUGCAGGGAGGGAAAUAGGGUAAGGACUGGACUUACUGCAGGUGGGGAAAUAGGAGGACUGGACUUACUGCAGGUGGGGAAAUAGGAGGACUGGAC